UACAGGGGGGGCGAGCGUUGUUCGGAAUUAUUGGGCGUAAAGAGCGUGUAGGCGGCUGGGUAGGUCCGUUGUGAAAACUCGAGGCUCAACCUCGAGACGCCGAUGGAAACCCCCCAGCUAGAGUCCGGAAGAGGAGAGUGGAAUUCCUGGUGUAGCGGUGAAAUGCGCAGAUAUCAGGAAGAACACCCGUGGCGAAGGCGGCUCUCUGGGACGGUACUGACGCUGAGACGCGAAAGCGUGGGGAGCGAACAGG
rnacentral:rRNA from 1 species